ACACCCAUGGUGAGGGCACCUUCUCAAUAAGUCUUUGUAUCUCUCCCAUGCAUCAUAAAGUGUUUCUAAAUCCAUCUGGACAAAAGAAGAGAUAUCAUUCCUUAAUUU
rnacentral:snoRNA from 1 species